rnacentral:rRNA from 1 species
ACGCUGGCGGCGUGCCUUAGGCAUGCAAGUCGAACGGUAACAGGGAAAAGCUUGCUUUUCUGCUGACGAGUGGCAGACGGGUGAGUAACGCGUAGGAAUCUACCUCUUGGUGGGGAAUAGCCUUCCGAAAGGAGGGGUAAUACCGCAUAAGCUCUACGGAGGAAAGGGCAUAACUGCCCGCCGAGAGAGGAGCCUGCGUCCUAUCAGCUAGUUGGUGAGGUAAUGGCUCACCAAGGCGACGACGGGUAGGGGGUGUGAGAGCACGGCCCCCCACAAGGACACUGAGACACGGGUCCUACACCUACGGGUGGCAGCAACCGGGAAUAUUGCGCAAUGGGCGAAAGCCUGACGCAGCGACGCCGCGUGUGGGAAGACGGCCUUCGGGUUGUAAACCACUGUGGUAGGGGAACAAGCUCUGAGGGUACCCUACUAGAAAGCACCUGCUAACUACGUGCCAGAAGCCUCGGUAAUACGUAGGGUGCAAGCGUUAUCCGGAUUUACUGGGCGUAAAGCGUCCGCAGGCGGUUCUGUAAGUACGUGGUCAAAGCCCCCGGCUCAACCGGGGAAAGGCUAUGUAAACUGCAGGACUAGAGGAUUGCAGAGACUGUCGGAAUUCUCGGUGGAGGGGUGAAAUCCGUUGAUAUCGAGAGGAACAUCAAGGGCGAAGGCAGACAGUUGGGCAAUUCCUGACGCUCAGGGACGAAAGCUAGGGUAGCAAAAGGGAUUAGAGACCCCUGUAGUCCUAGCCGUAAACGAUGGAUACUAGUCGGUUGCUUCGGUUUACCGAAGUGGCUGGCGCA